rnacentral:rRNA from 1 species
UGAGGAAUAUUGGUCAAUGGGCGCAAGCCUGAACCAGCCAUCCCGCGUGAAGGAAGAAGGCGCUAUGCGUUGUAAACUUCUUUUCCAGGGGGCGAACGUUCCGUACGUGUACGGGAGUGACGGUACCCUGGGAAUAAGCAUCGGCUAACUCCGUGCCAGCAGCCGCGGUAAUACGGAGGAUGCGAGCGUUAUCCGGAUUUAUUGGGUUUAAAGGGUGCGUAGGCGGAUUAAUAAGUCAGUGGUGAAAACCUGCAGCUUAACUGUGGAACUGCCGUUGAUACUGUUAGUCUUGAGUAUGGUCAAGGUAGGCGGAAUGUGUAAUGUAGCGGUGAAAUGCUUAGAUAUUACACAGAACACCGAUUGCGAAGGCAGCUUACUGGGCCGUUACUGACGCUGAUGCACGAAAGCGUGGGGAUCGAACAGG